UUGCUGAGAUGGAGUCACCAAGUUUGAUUCUUCUAAGCUGUUUCCUGAUACAAUGCUACGGGUCCACUCACUUUCAUUACCUAAAGAAAGGGGAGGAGUUAACACUGUCCUGUGAAACAUGUCAAUGGCAGGCUGAUGUGAAUUCAGACAACAGAGUGGACUGCAGCUUCAUAGACAGUAAUUAUGCAAAUAACUCAAAAUGCACUGCAUGAAAACAGGACCUAUGCCAAAAGAUAAAGAAGAACAAACCCACCGGUUGUGAAAUCUGUGUAAUGAGGGGAUUCUUUGCCUGUGUUAAUGCUACAUCUGACUCCUGCUUCAUGCAUCCAUUCAAACCCUCUUCUCACCAUGUGGAGUCCUUCAUUGUUGCUCAGGCAGAACCAGACAUUGUGUCUAAACCUGUAAUGGAAAACUCAGUGCUUGUGUCUGGAAGAGAAUCAAUUAAUCUGGCGUGCGCUUUUAAAACAAAGGGGAAUUAUUCCAAUAAUCCUUUCGUGGUGUACUGGAUCAAGACUGGAGCUCAGAGCAGCACAUGUGUGUAUUCCUUUGAUUACGAUGGAUAUGAUAGUGGUGCUGAUCACCACUGUGCCAUCGACAAAGAUCUUCUGUUAAGGAGAUCAAACACAUCAAAACUCUCCCUUGAUGACAACAUCCAUAACCUAAAGAUCAGCAAUGCCACUCAGUCAGACCGUGGACAGUAUCUGUGUGUCUUAAUGGUGAACACAAAUAGUCAGCAGUACUGGGCAGUAAUAACCAACACUACAGUCAUUAUGGAUAAUCCUGAUUCCCAUCUCAUCUAUGUGAUUGGUGUAUUAGUACCCGUUCUUCUCCUCCUCCCUGUCAUCAUCAUCAUCAUCAUACUGCUUAAAAGGAAACCAGCUGAGACCACAGUAUCUCAAACUGCAAUAACUCAAAGGUAA
rnacentral:lncRNA from 1 species